rnacentral:lncRNA from 1 species
UUUUUUUNUUUUUUUUUUUUUUUUUUUUUUUUGCUAUUUCUUGGGCCACUCCCGAGGCGUAUGGAGAUUCCCAGGCUAGGGGUCCAAUCGGAGCUGUAGUCACCGACCUACACCAGAGCCACAGCAACGCGGGAUCCGAGCCGCGUCUGCAACCUACACCACAGCUCACGGCAACACCGGAUCGUUAACCCACUGAGCAAGGGCAGGGACCGAACCCGCAACCUCAUGGUUCCUAGUCGGAUUCGUUAACCACUGCGCCUGUUGGGAACUCCAGAUUUGAUUUUUUAACAAUUCGUUUGGGGAGAUGAGUUAUUAAGGUGAUAACCAAACUAUGAUACAAACUAUUAACACAUUGGUUCUUGAUGUAUGUAAAACUAAAUACAGUAUUUAUGCAAAAAUAAACAUAGAUUUUUAUUUUCUUCAAAAGCAUCAGGUAACCAUAUGACUUCACUGGUGAAUUCUACCAAAUGUUUAAAGAAAAAUUAACAACAAUCCUUCACAAACUUUACAAAAAAAAUAGAAGAGGAGGAAACAUUUUCCCAACACAUUCUACGAGUCUAGAAUUAUCCUGAUAAUGAAACCAGAUGAAGACAUUGCAAGAAACACACACGCACACACCCCCCAUUCCUUCUGACUCUAGGCACAAAAAUCCUCAAGAAAAUACUAACAAACUGAAUCCAGAAACAUACUUAAAAAAAUCAUUCACCAUAACCAAAUGAGAUUUACCCCAGGCAUGCAAGGUUGAUUCAAUAUAUGAAAAUCAAUCAGUGUAAUACAUUAUAUGAUAGAACUAAAAACGGAGACCACAUGGUCAUCUCAAUAGGUAAAUAAAAAGUACUUGACAAAACCUAACAUCUUUCAUCAUAACACUCAGUUAACUAGAAAUAGAAAGAAAUCUUCUAAUUCCAACAAAGGAUAUCUACCCAAAAAGCCCACAGAUAAAAUUUUAUGUAAUGCUGAAAGACUGAGAAAUGUCCCCCAAGACCUUGGACACCACAAGGAUGUCCACUCUCACCACUUCUGUUUAACAGUGUCCUGGAUGUUCUAACCAGUGCAAUUAAACAAGAAAAAGAAAUAAAAAUAUUCAGAUUAGAUGGUAUGAUCUUGUGCAGAGAAAAUCCUAAAUUAUUCACAAAUAUACUAGCAAAGCUAAUAGACGAGUUCAGAAAGGUUGCAAGGUACGAGAUCAAUAUACUAGAAUCAAAUGCAUUUCUAUACACUAGCAAUGAACAAUCUGAGAAGGAAAUUAAGAAGAUGACUCCAUUUACAAUAGCUUAAAAAAGAAUAAAAUAUUUAAGAAUACUCGUAAAAGAAGUACAAGAUUUGAACACGGCAAAAUAUAAAACAUUGUUGAAAGAAAAUAAGAUCUAAAUAAAUUGAGUGACAUCCCAUUUUUAUUCAGGAUAACUUAAUAUUGUUAAGAUGCCAAAAGGAGUUCCCAUUGUGGCUCAGCAGUUAACGAACUUGACUAGCACCCAUGGGGACUCGGGUUCAAUCCCUGGCCUCACUCAGUGGGUUAAGGAUCCUGCAUUGCCACACGCUGUGGUGUAGGUCACAGACGCGGCUUGGAUCCCGAGUUGCUGUGGUAUAGGCCAGCAGCUACAGUUCCUAUUGGACGCCUAGCCUGGGAAUCUCCAUAUGCCAUGGGUGCAGGCCUAAAAAGACGAGAAAAAAAAAAAAAAAAAAAAAAAGAUAGCAAUAUUCCACAAAAUGGUAUUCAGACUCAAUGAUAAUCUAUCAAAAUCCCAGCUGAUCUUUUUUUAAACAGAAAUUGACAAGCUGAUCCUAAAAUUCAUGUAAAAAUGCAAGGGACGUUGAAAUGCCGAAACAGUCUUAUAAAAGAAGAAAGUUGCAAGACUCAAAUUUCUCCAUUUCAGAACUUAACUACAAAGCAACAUCAAUCAAGACUAUGUGGUACUGGCAUAAGAACAGACUUACAUACCAAUGAAACAGACUGAGAGUCCAGAAAUUAAACCAUUUAUGUACAGUCAACUGAGUUUUGACAAAGGUGCCAUGACAAUUCAAUAGGAGAAGAAUAAGUCUUUUCACCAAAUGGUACUGGAACAACUGGAUAUUCACAUACAAAAGAAUGAAGUUGCAACUCUAUCUCAUACCAUAUAUAAAAAUUAACUCCAAAUGAAUCAAAGACCCAAGUGUAAAAACUAAAAUUAUUAAAGUUCUAGAAGAAAAUAUAAAUGUAAAUAUUCAUAGUAAGUUAUCUAUUUAUUUAUUUAUCUAUUUAUUUAUUUAUUUUUAGGGCUGCACCAUGGCAUACGGAAGUUCCCAGGCUAGGGGUCAAAUCGGCCUAUAUCAUGGCCACAGCAACACAGUAUCCAAGCCACCUUUUCAACCUACACCACAGCUCAUGGCAAUUCUGGAUCCUGUAAUCCACUGAGCAAGGCCAAGGAUCAAAUCUGUAUCCUUAUGGAUACUAGUCAGGUUCUUUACUGCUGAGCAACAGGAACUCAAGAAAUUAUUUCUUAGAUAUGACACAACACAAUAAAAGGAAAAUUAGACUUCAUCAAAGCUAAAAUGUUUGUGCUUCAAAGGAUACUAUCAAGAAAGUGAAAAGACAACCAACAGAAUGAGAUAAAAAUAUUUACAAAUCAUGUAUUUGAAAAAGUCUAGCAUCCAGAAUAAUUAAAGAACUCAUCAUGAUUCACUAAUAAAAAGGUGAAUAAUCUAUUAAAUGGGCAAGUGAUUUGAAUGGACAUUUCUCCAAAGAAUGUAUGUAUGCACAUGAAAAGAUACCCAACAUCAUUCAUCACCAUCAAAGCCACCAUGAGAUACCAUUUAAUACUCAUUAGGAUGGCUAUAAAUUUUUUUUUUUUUGUCUUUUUGCCUUUUUCUAGGGCCGCUCCUGCGGCAUAUGGAUCAGCAGAACAAACUAUGCAGUCCAGAAGGGGACUCCACGCAUAUUCUGCCAAGUGAUUUUCAACACAUAGGCAAAGGCAAUUCAAAAAAGAAAGAACAGGAAGUUCCCAUCGUGGUGCAGAGGAAACAAAUCCAGUUAGUAUCCAUGAGGGUGCAGGUUCCAUCCCUGGCCUCGCUCAGCGCAUCAGCUAUCUGGCGUUGCCAUGAGCUGUGGUAUAAGUUGCAGACACGGCCCGAAUCCCCCAUUGCUGCGGCUGUGGUGUAGGCCUGCAGCUGUAGCUCCAAUUUGACCCCUAGCCUGGGAACCUCCAUAUGCUGCAGAUGCACCCCUAAAAAGCAAAAAAGAGAGAGAGAGCGAGAAAGAACAGUGUUUUGAACAGAUGCUGCUGGAACAACUGGAUGGCCAUAUGCAAAGAAAUAAACUUUAAUUCAUACCUCACCCCAUAAAAUGUAAUCCCAAACGGAUCACAGACUUCAAUGUAAAACAUAAAACUACAACAUAUCUAAAAGAAAACAUAGGAGAAAAUCUUUAUGACUUUGUCAAAGAGUUGUUCAAUAUGGCAUCAAAGUACAACUCAUAAAAGAUUGAUAAGUUGUAGUUCAUCAAAUUUAAAAACUUCUGCUUUGUGGAGUUCCCGUUGUGGCUCAGCUGUAAGAAAUCCAACUAGUAUCCAUGAGGAUGCGGGUUCAAUCCCUGGCCUCACUCAGGGGGUUAGGGAUCUGGCAUUGCUGUGAGCUGUGGUGUAGAUCAUAGACAAUGUGUGGGUCCUGCAUUGCUGUGGGUGUGGUGUAGGUGGGCAGCUGUAGCUCCAACUCAACACCUACACCAGGAACUGCCACAUGCCCAGGGCGAGGCCCUAAAAAGCAAAGAAGAAGAAGAAGAAGAAGAAGAAGUGAUUUGCAAAUGGGAUUAUGAAAAGAUGCUCCUCGUUAAGUCCUUAGGAAAAUGCAAAAUGAUGCCCUAAUAAGACACCAGAUGAAUGCGUUAGAACGAGAGGAGAAAACUCAGAAAACCAAGUGCUGAUGAGGAGGCCGAGCAACGGAAACUCUCCUCCACUGCUAGUGGAAU